rnacentral:rRNA from 1 species
CCAAAUAUCUAAACGGAGAAAUUCAAUAUUACCCUUAACCCGUAAUGUGCACUUUUCUCUUAGUAAGACGCCGUGAUCCAUUAGAAAUUGGUGUACGCCAAGUGCACAGUGGGUCAUCAAUAGGCCGAUGUGAAGUUUAUUCGGAACAAAUGGCGUGAUCUUUCACGGUCGCGUGUAUUGUCUGGUAAGCGCGUCGAUACCUGCAAUGACUGUCUGAUGGAUUUUAAAGACCGUAUCAACGAUGCCUCGGCACCGGCGCUUGUCGCAAACAAGAUACUCGUGUCUGAUCAACGGCGGUUAAAUUUGGGAUACCUUUUGGACCCGUCUUGAAACACGGACCAAGGAGUCUAUCUAGUAUGCGAGUAAAUGGAUAGUUUAUGAAAUCUAUUUGCGUAAUAAACGUAACUGUUUUCAAUGGGAUUACAACUUGUCGACUCGCUCGCGCGGGUCACUUGUUUUCCAUCCCGGGGUAUUUUCAUCAACAUAUACGCAAGUAUAUGGAAAAUAUACCAUGAGCACACUGGAUACGACCCGAAAGAUGGUGAACUAUGCCUGAUCAGGUCGAAGUCAGGGGAAACCCUGAUGGAGGACCGAAGCAGUUCUGACGUGCAAAUCGAUUGUCAGAAUUGGGCAUAGGGGCGAAAGACCAAUCGAACCAUC